CUCCGAUUUCACUCCCCAACCCUCGGGAGUCCACUCCCACCCUGUUGACCCCCCCUCCCCAGGAACUGUAGAGGCAGAGAAGGAGAAGGAGGCAAAAGGAGUCCGAUGGGAAUCUGACAAAGUCGUGUAAACUUGAAAGCGGAGAGCGAGAGAGAACCGAAUGAGAAGGGAGAGGGUUGGGUAGGAUUGUAGAGGGGUACGUUACAUUUCCCCCUCCCCCGGCCCCUGUUUAUAAUCCUUGUUUGCAAAAAGGGCCAGUUCAAGUCUAUUAUUUUGAUUUCAAUAUUUUACCUUUGAACGAUUCUGUGACUGGUUUCACGAUGGAGUCCCUUUGACAGGCCUGCUUAGACGGAGGAUUUCUUCCUCAAAGAGACGUUGCUUUGGUUUUAUCGCCUCCCCCCACCCCCUGCCCCCUCUCCCCUUCUGGUCUGGGACGUGACAGUGGAACAGGGAUAGCUCUCUCUGGGUGUGUCGAAUAUCCCAAAUACGGAGAGAAAGUGAAAUAAUAAGAAAAAAAACCUGCUGCUCUUUUAAGAAAAAAAUAUAUAUUGAUGGCCUUUAAUUGUCUUAACUAUUUCCAAAUCAUUCACAGUGUGUCUGGGAGAGGGCCCUUCCCCAGCUCACUCCAUCUUCUCAACUAACUCGAGGAGGACUCUGGAAAUAUAACCACCAGAAGACAACAAACUUUCUAGUGUAUUUAUAGAUAUUUUUUGUUCCUUACCUUCUUGUAUGUUUCACCUUUUACGAUACGAUAAACUCUGUUUUAGCUAGGUGUCUUAGCUGGGCCCCUGUUCUUAGAAUGUAGCAGUCUGCACCAACUUGUUUUUAUGGGGAAACUUUGGUUUUAUUUUUCCCCCCCUCCCUGAUACCAAUAGACUUAUUCGACUCUCCUCCGAUUUAUUUCUUCUUUUUUCAAUGUGAUUGCACAAAAGUGGUUAUAUAAUAACAUAGGCAUGUACAACGUGAUUGUCUGUGUGUGUGUGUGUGUGUGUGUGUGUGUGCGUGUGUGUGAGUGUGCGCGCGUGCCUGCGUGUGGCUGUGUGUAAGCGCUACUGUCAGCCAUGUUGAGUAGAUGGAAAAGCCCUGCAUUGUACAUUGUCCUUUAGCUUCUUCAGCCGUCCUUCCCUAUAGUAGUGCCUUACAGAUAUAAUGACACAGUUUACCUGGCUCUGAUCCCCCCCCCCCAGAGCCACUGGAGACCCUAAGGGCGCUUCAAGCGAGGAGUGCUUCCCUGGUCUGACAUCCCCCCAGUCUUGGCAGUUGUAGCUUUCUUCCAGGUGUAGACUCUGCCCGGUUGUUUUAGCGUUUUGUGUUUCCCAUUGACAGCGUACUAUAAAGUGAUGAUGAUGAUGUUGACACUUAAUGUCAGAGAGUCGAUAUGAUUAAAAACUGAGCUAAUUUUAUGACGCGUGCAUGAGAUAACCUUGCUUGGGGGUACUUAACCAAAGUCGUUACAUAAAUUAUGGUCACAUGUCGUUGUUUUGUUUCUGUUUUUCGGGAUAUAAAUGUAAAUAAUGAAAUGUAUAGUGUAACUGUGACCUCUACCACCGUGGCACCCGAAAUGUGGCUUUACUUUUAAGAUCACUUGGUGUAUUUUUUACCACAGAAGAAGAAGGAAAUUCAUAAGCAGCAGGGACUCCAGAGCUGGAAAGUAGUGUGAGGUGGUAUAUCGUAUACUGGGCAACUCCAUUUGGACAAACCAAUGUAAAGUGACAUCGGAUUGGCUUGGAUGCAUUAGCGCAGCCUCGGUGUUGACAUUAUAUCAAGCUCGAGACUACACAGAAGUCGUCUCGUCGAGCUAGGUCAAGCUAAAAGGACCUGAAAGAGAGUGUUUGUUUCCAUGGCGGCGACCCUGCAAGGCCAAUGUGAGGGCUGACAGAGAACGAGUGAGAGAGAGAGGGAGAGAGGGCCGGGUUGCUAUAGACUGAGAGAGAGAGAACGAGAGAGAGAGAGACUAGAGGACAGAGGGCUGCAGGAGACAGAUAGUGUGUAGGCACAAGCUCUAAGGGGCGGGCCUAAGAAAGCAUAAGGGUUGGUUGGAAUCCCUUAUCUUAAAUGGAAGGAAAAGAGGUGAGCAUGUUGGCACUGAGCAGGUUGAUAGUAACAAGGAACCCUGAGGUGAUCUUUCGUAGGAGGCCACUGCAUGAACACACACAAACACACAAUCGUGCACACGCACACAACACACACACACACACACACACACACACACACACACACACACACACACACACACACACACACACACUAUACCUAUAACUCUGGACAGGAGUGUUUUUAAUUAUCGUUGUUGUUACUGCUGUUGUCGUUGAUGUUUUUCUGGCAAAGAUACACGCAAGUUAUUUGUCUUGUUGUGCUCUGAGAAGUCAUGGUAUGGCGAGAUGUGUUGUCAUCUCAUAUAAACGACCAGAAGAGGACAUGUGGAAAACACACACACACACACACACACACACACACCCUGGAAGAGCCUCUCUUGGACCUGGGCUUGGUCCGCCGCCGCCGCCGCGUGUGUGUCUGUGAGCCGAGGUACAGACCCCUCGGGGGCACAACUUAACACGCAGAACUAUACCCAACGGGGCUCCCGCUCCAUGUGACCCGCUGCUUUAUCUAACGGAUGUUCUCUCUAUUAGCCACUGACGGGAUUAGUAUUCAUUAUCGAACAACGUUAUUUUGUCCUCGUGAAAUGAGUGCGCUCAUCUCAAGUGCUAGUGGCUUAUUAAACAAGCCUUCCCCUUUUCCCCUUUCCCUUCAUAGUUCUGGCAUUUAAAGUUGUUUUUGGAUUUUUCUUUGUUAUUUUGUUCUCAUGUUACGAUUAACUUUUGACAUGGUUGUAGGUUUUGUUGUGUUAAUUAUUAUUAGAGAUUGUUGCAAUAAUUGUUGUGGCUGUUCUAUCAGUGCGUGUAUGUGUGUGCGCGUGUGUGCGUGAGUUUAUAUAUUUUUCUUUUUUAUAUCAUUAUUAUGAAUCGAAUUUUGUCCUGCUCAUUUCAUUUCUUGAUUUAUAACCUUGGGGUGGAUGUAGAGUAACAUUAAGACCCAGGUGGGGGCACCAGUAUCAAAGCACUGCUGACCAUGCUAACUGUUAAGGUGAAGAUAAUCCAAAUGAGUCGUUAGCGAUUAGCCUCAAUGUGUGCCCACUGCCCAAGCUCCAAACCAACAUUUAAGUGACUACUGGUGGAAGUCAGUGGGCUCUCUUGUCCUCGGUACUGAUUGCUCCCCCCUCCCCCUCCCCUCGCCGGUGGUCCGCAGUGGCCAACAGGGGAUCCUGGCAGUCCAAGAUGUGAUGUUGUGAUGCAGAAUGUUUUUUUUUCUUUCACAUUCUUGUCCGUGUCGAUGUUUUUGUUCCUAUGCUUAUUGUUUUGUCUAGCCCUCAGCCCAUUGGGGCGUAAGUACGCACGUACGAGAGAUUUCUGUUUUUUUCAUUGAAUUCUUUGGUUCCUCAGUUCUGAGGAAGACUACUGAAACAUUCCACUGUUUGAUGAAAUCUGGCGUUCGUCCUCCAUCUUUUACACUGCUGCCGCGUUUCCACGGGGCGACCCUGUCCUGUCUCAGAAUCCUCCCACCAAAGACUCCCACACACACACACACACACACACACACACACACACACAAACACACACACACACACACACACACACACACACAACUCUGUACAUCUCAGCAAAGUACAAGCAAUCCUCCACAGCGUCUCCACAAAGUAGUCCGGCAAUAAUUCUGGUUUCUUUCCUUUAACUCUUUUAACAAGACUUUUCUUUAAAAGUGCUUUUAGGGAUGUUUUUUGGUUUUAGCCCCGUUGAAUGUAUAUGCAGAAUUGUGUGUGUGUGUGUGUGUGUGUGUGUGUGUGUGUGUGUGUGUGUGUGUGUGUGUGUGUGUGUGUGUGUGUGUGUGUGUGUGUGUGUGUGUGUGUGUGUGUGUGUGUGCAAAGGAGAGAUUUACCAUGCAAAACACACACUGCAUUCAUUGAGUUAGUUUCUGUAAAUACAAGCAACAACUGCUGCAGCCAAGCGUUCUCUAUGAAUAGUGUUACUCCUAUUAUGUAUUCCCGCAUUGACUCACGACAAUAGGUAGCUAUUAGUUUAUCUGUUCCCUUAAUAUCUUAACUUCUCCUUAAAAGGUUUUAUGUGUAUUUUUUGUUUUAGUCUUUGAUGUCGUAGCUUUAUCAAUAUUUCAACAAAAUGUAAUUUGUAUAAAAAAAGCGGAUGUAUUGGGUUAGUGUGCCAUGGAAUGGAAUGAUAUGUAAAUUUAAUUUAAUCAAAAAUAUACCAAUUAUACCUUUAAAAUCAUGGUCACGUGCACAAAAUGAAUGUAAUGUGUGACCUGUGACAUUGAACAUGCUUUACAGCUCUUUCAGCAGGUGAAUAUUUAAUUUAAAGACUGAAUUUAUGUAACUGUCAACUUUCACCAAUGCAUGAUGCACUAAUUCUACAGUAACUAUAUUGCAUAAUUAUUUAGCAGCAUAAUUCACCCUUGAGAGAGUAUAUUUCUGUUUCUUGUUUUCUAAUUUGAACAAGAAACAAAGACUAUUUGGAAAAUACAAAACCAAGAUGCAGCAAUCGAGAUUCACAUGAGUUUUACAUGAAACCAUGAUUUUAAUUUUGUGAAAAAAGACAAAUUGGAAGUGUGACUUUGGAGUACCAAAAUGUACAAAGUGUGAAUGCUGCAUUUGGUCAUUUUAAUUCAAGAGUACUGCAAUCCAAACAACUAAGAAUACCUUCUAACUUUGAGGUGUGGUUAAAAUUAGUCAAAGCUAUGUGCGGCUCAGUCUCUCUCAGCCUUUCAUCAUUUUUUUUUACCCACUGUUCUUUAAAAGAAAAUACUUCACACAAAAGGUGUCAAUUUCCAACUCUGUCCACAAUGUUGUUUGUGAGUAAUGAUGCUCUUUGAACUCUGAAAUAAUUGCAAAACAUUCCUCAAGGCAUACCACCCUUAUUGCAAGCUCCAUUGGUAUUCUCCUGCCAAACUCCUGAAGUAGUGACUUGAAGUGCUGGAAGAAGUGAAUAGGGGUGAAUCACUUAACACACAAAACACACAACACACAACACACACACACGCACACAAAGAACUGUUUCACCUUGCAAUCGUCUGAUAAAAUGUCAAGCCGCUGCCAAAAGUAAUAAGGAGGUAAUAAAAUGUGUUGGCUGGAGUUAACAUGAGCUGAUGGACUCUUUCCUUUCUUUAAUCUCCAUUACGUACAAUCAGAUGACAUAGACAUUCUAUCACAAAAACACAUAUGAGAGGAACAUUCUUCCUAAUUUUGAAUCUCGAUGUGGAGAUUUGCUCCUUUGCUGGCUGUUCCUUAAGUGGGAUUCAGGGUACGGUGGUCAAGGUUUGAUGCCAUCACUGUGAAAUGGUGUUACACAUUGUUGUUAUUACUAGAAGUGAUUCAAAUUGCUUUGUGGUCAUAACCAUUUUAACUGCAUCAGAUUAUAUUUCUUCCAAAUUUCUUUAAUGUUAAGUCCCUAGUCCAACACUUUGCUACUUACAGAUCAAAACAACACUAUUCCAAGACAAAUACGUUUGUAGACCAAGACAAAGACUACUUUCAAAUUUAGGUAUAACAUUUUUACAAUGUGAAAAAUAUUUUUUUAUUACGAUAAAGCCUGGUGUGUAGAGUUUCAAUUGUAAAAGAAUAAUUUCUCCCAUUUGACUUGAAUUACAUUCUAUUUUGCCAUUCUCAUUUUUAUGUCAAAACUAAAAUUAACUACUGUGUUGGCCGUAUGCUUGUACUUUACACACAUGUUCAUAUUUUCUUAUGAAUCUCCCUCAGACCAUAGUUUCCAUUGUAAGACCUAAACCUGCAUCAGACCCUGACCCCCUGUUGUGUCCAUUGCCGUUUGCUGGAGCGACGGAUGACAUUUCUUUGUUGAUGAAGCCAAUGUGUGCUGUAUUUCCUGCUAAACCUUUUGUUCUGUUACUCUCCUCCUUUUCUUUUCUUUAUUGGGGUGUGUGAUGUCUUAUUAUUUCAAUCUGUUACCGUAGCGAUCUAUGUAUACCCUAUUCCUUAGCCUAAUAUUAUUAACUAUGUUAUGAGAAUGGAUAUUUUACUGGCUUUAUAGAAUGUUUAAAUAAUUAUAAUAAUGACAAUAAGAAGAGUGAUUAAGUAAAACAAAAACUCCUAACAAUAUUGAGUACAUGCUUCUCAGCGCUUGUGUUUCCAUUAUGAUGUUGUGUGCUUCUCUUAAUCAUUUUCGUUGUAGAAAAAUGGAGUGAAUUUAUAUUAGGCUUCAAAAAUCUAACGAUAGCUUUGUAAAACUACGGGAGGAUUUUAACAGACAAACAACCUUCGUCAAAUAGAAGAAUAUAGUUAUUUUAAUUGUCCUCUUUACUAACUGUAGGAUGAGAGGGUCUCGCUUUGUGGUGAACUAUGUUAUAGCUUGUUAUUCACUGUUACUUUUGAUCAUUUUUUCGGUCUCCGAGGUGAAUCGAGUUAUUAAUGAGAAUUUGUAUGAUCACAUAUGCAUAUUGUAUAUGUGUAGAAAUGUAAUCACACUUUGUCUUGGAUUUACAUUAAACUGUUAAGUCACGG
ensembl:lncRNA